GCACCCCAGGCUGGGGCUCGUUGCUUCCACUUCUCUCUCCACACUUGGCACAAGCUUUCUUUCCCCUUUGUUUGUUAUCGGUGUUUUUCUCAAGUGAGGCGUGGGGCCGGCCCCCUCCUGGGGCGGAGGUUACUGGGAAGCUCCCGUCCUUCGACCCCAGCGGGCCCUGGGUUGCUGGGGACCCUCUCAAGGCCCUUUUUACUUACCAGGGCUGCGGGCUCGCUUGGGGCCCUCUCCCCAGUUACUGUCUGCGGAGGGGCCGUUCCUUUCCUGGUUUCAACAGGUACUGAGCGGGGACGUGGCGACCCCUUUCUCUCCCCAGGGGUACGGGGCUGUGGACGGCGGGGGCCGCCCGAGACGACCCCGGGGCUGCCGGCGAUUUCUCUGGGGCGAGUCUGCUGCACUGCCACGGAGCCCCGGGCUGUCGGCUGGGAGUGAGCAGUCUAGUAGAGAGGGUGUACUUCCUGGUUUUCUUGGGCCGCCCUCGGAAAACUCCAGGUCCGAUUUUUAAAGUUUCUUUUAUCAGUAAAGCCUCCUCUCAGGGUUGAGUAGGGAAGAAGCACGGGAUUUGGAAUCUGAUGUGCUGGGAGGAGUUUCGGGUAUGUCACUUGCUAGAUCUGUGGUCCUUUGUAGCACAUUUACCGCAGCCUCGUUUUCCCAGUCCGAAAAAUGGGGGUAAUCGUCUUUGGCCUGCCUGCCUUCCGGUGUUAUGGGGUUCAGCAGAAGUGACAUGUGCGAGAAAGCACGUUUCAAAUACAGCAAGCUCACUAUCUUUCUGUCUACACACACACACUCUCUCUCUCUCUCUCUCUCUCUCUCUCUCUCUCUCGCUCGCUCCCCUCUUGCUUUGUUAUAGCCGUCCUUUCCUCAGUGCUACACAGGUACGAGUAUCCCAGAGAGCGCUUAAUGUUCCUCACAUGCGCUAAGCUGAUGCCUGUCUCUAGAUGGUCUGCUGUGUCUUCCCCGUUUUCAGAUACUGCUUGUGCUAAACCUAGCUCUGAUUCUAAUACGGUACCACUAUCCUGUGUAUACUGGCUGAAACAAGAACUAUUGGGGUUAUUUUCACCUCCCUAGGUGAGGCUGCUAUCUGUCAGAAGGGAACUUUUUGUACCAUUUGCCUCAGACACGGUCUAUCUGCACGUUCUAGAGUUUUAUCAUUCAAAAAAUAAAUGUCACUUAUUUGAUUGAGGGGGUGCCAUGCAGCGAGAAGCAGAGAGAUGCAGAGUUCGAGUCAGGAGGCCUGACAUGGCACUUUAUGUACCCAAAGCUCGAAGGGGCAUAGUAGUGCACAAAUCAGGUGAUGAGGGAAAAAGCUGUGGUCCACCUAACUCCGUGGUAAAAGAAGAACAAAAGGAAGAUUCUUUCUCUCAAAAGGGGAUCAUUAGAGACAAGCGUGAGGCUCAAAGACUAAGUAUUAAUCCAGAUAAAAAGGAACACAAUCAUAGGGAAGGAAAGAAAUCUUCAACAAAAUUUAAUAAAGAUGUGUGGCUUCAAGAAAGAAAUAAAGAUAGUGUUUGUACUAAGAGGGCAACCACAGCAUCCAAAAAAGUAUUAUCCCAAGGACAUCAGCAAAGAGUCCCAAAUCCUGGGAUUAUACCUAUCAUACCUUUACAAAGACAUUUUAAACCAAAGAAGGUAGAGUGUUUGGAGGUUGAAACCAGAGAUGUGACAGAACAGGAUGGGUUGCUUCAAUCUCAGUCUUGUUCAGAAAUCGGUAAGGCUCAGGUUCCAAACAAACCAUUCCAAAAUGUGGAAUUCUGUGAUUUCAAUAGGCAUGAACUAAAUGGGGAAACAUUUGAAGAUAGAAAUUUGGAAAGCAGAAUGGAAACUGAUGCCAGGGUUGCAGAGAUACUAUCCCAAUUUCCUGGAGAUUUUAGUUCUGUGGUGAAACCUGAGAGUAUGAUUGCACCAGUAAAACCAAGCUCUGAUUCUGGAAUUGUACAACAAGGCAUGCAGACAUCGGGUGGAAUGCUGAAGCGCAGCAACGGAGGCAUCACCACUGAUUCUGUUCCUGGAAGUCCAGUUGGUAUCAUUGAUCAGACUUGCAUAGACUUGGAUGCUGAGAAUGUUGGUGAUACAGCCAACAGUACAGAUUUCAUCUUGGGUCAGAAAGGUAUAGAUUCCAUUCCUGAGACUAUGGGUCACAUCUCUCAUCAGAUGACUACAGUCAGCAAAUUAGAGAGCAUAAAUGGCAUUUUUGAUCCAACAAUGAUUAGAGAGUGUGAGGAGAAUGACAGCACUGCUGAUGAGUUAUGUGUAAAGUGUGAAUCUUCUGAUACAGCUGUCCUUGCUCAUGAAACAUAUACAAAUAAUGGAUCUAAGAGUGUAGGUGACAUUACCAAUAAGACAUGUAUGAUGGACAUUACAGAUAUCAUAUCUGAUCAAAUAACUGUAGUUGCUGUUAGAGUAGCUCAUGAGGCCUGUAGCAACACAAGUAGUUUCUCAGACUAUUUCGAAAUAAGUGCAGAUACAUCCCCUCUUCAUGUAGCUGAAAGGGGGAAUGACACUGAACAUUUCAGCAACCUGACUGCUUGCUCAGAUACUUAUGCUGAGAGUGUUUCAUCUAGUUUCACAGAGUCAACAGGAAAGUUGAUAGAGAGCUUGUCAGAUUGUGCUUCCUCCUUACCUGUAAAGAAGAUUGCUGGUAGUAAUUGUAACACUUUUUUGGACUCUGAACUCAGUAUGUUAAGUGGGACAAAAGUAUUUUCAGACAGUGCUUUGGGCAGUGAUCAAGAUUGUACUGGUGAUAUAACAGAGGCAUUGCAUGAACUUAAAACUGCUGAAGAGUUCAAAACAAAAGAAGAAGAUGGCUCAGAGACUACAGAAUUUGGUGUAACCUUUCCUGAUAUAGAAUCAGUGUCUGUGGAAACAUCCAUGGAAUCGAAAGCAACUGAUAUGUCUCACACAGAAGCAAGUGCUGCUACUGAGGAGAGCUGGGAGUCUAUGUUUAAUGAUGAUGGUGACUGCCUGGACCCACGUCUUCUACAAGAGUUAUCAGGGAAUAUGAAGAAUAGAGAAAGCAUCCAAGAACCUAUAUUUGAUUAUUACAACCAUGAAGUUCCUGAUAUUGACCUCAGUGAUUGUGAAUUCCCACAUGUCAUUGAAAUUUAUGACUUCCCCCAAGAAUUUCGUACUGAAGAUCUUCUACGGAUUUUCUGCACUUAUCAAAAGAAAGGAUUUGAUAUUAAAUGGGUGGAUGAUACACACGCCCUAGGAGUAUUCUCCAGUCCGAUUACAGCUCGUGAUGCUCUGGGUAGUAAACAUACCAUGGUGAAGAUCCGGCCCUUGUCGCAGGCCACGAGAGCAGCCAAGGCCAAAGCUAGAGCUUAUGCUGAGUUUCUCCAGCCAGCAAAGGAGCGUCCUGAGACUUCAGCAGCCCUAGCCAGAAGGUUAGUCAUCAGUGCCCUUGGGGUUCGAAGUAAGCAGAGCAAAACCGAACGGGAAGCAGAACUUAAGAAACUGCAAGAAGCCCGCGGCACAUCAGCAUACUACUGUUCCCCUUGAAUUUGUUUUAAAUGCUCAGCUAUGCAAAGGACAUUUCAGUGAUGAAAUUAAAAAUGAGGCUGUUGGCUAAGUGGGUACCCUGUUACUUACUUUUUUAAAGAAGGCGUUUAGUUGUGAAUAGAGACCCACGGUGAGAGAAAACAAUUGGAAGCCAAGCAACGGGAAGACAUCUGGGAAGGCAGAGACCAGUCUGCAGUUUGAACAUCAUUUGAUGACAGGGAUAAUUCCAGGAAUUCAGAAAAUAUUUCCAGUCUUCAGAGGAUUUUUCCAGAGCUCUGUGUACAUGCAGAUGUGCAUGUUAACGAAAGAAAGAGAUAAGCGAUCGAGACAAGGGCUGAUGAGGUAUCGGAGGAAGACAGACUCCUGUUUGUCUUCACUCCUAAAUGCAGUUCUUUGGAACUGCCUUAACUGUGUUGGACGUGGAAGGAAGCCAUCAGCUAGGAAGAAACUUGGAAGAUGUGACUUCCAAGAGUCCUCUGGACAGGGCAAGUCACACUUCCAAGAUGUUUUAAGCAAAUGCAAAACAGAGGAUUCAAACCUGUGAUGAUGGGAGAUUAAGGCACCGCAAAGGCAGGGUGUUCCUUAGUACCUCACAAAGCUGAGAACAGCAGUAUUGCAGGGGGCGGGUGAGGUGGGCAGUCAGAGGGGAGGGAGCUGUUAGUACAAGGAGAUGGAACGGUAUCUGGAGUGCUUGGUAUUCACAGAAUCUGCACUGCCGGUUCCAGAACCCCAAAGUUGGUGAACUGCAGCAGGUGUAGGUAUUUGGACUCCAGAGCUUGUACUAAGCUGAGUGCCUGGGGCUGCUCCAGCCGCAUGGCAGCCUGGGGCAUGCCCGCUUCAUUCCUUACAGGAAGCCGGUCUUGGGAGCUGUGUGCCAGUUCCAGUUUAAGCAGUACUAUCACGUUGUAAGAGAAAGACAUUAAAGCCCAUUUUAUGACAUGCA